rnacentral:snoRNA from 1 species
UUUUGGUGAUGAAGCGAAACUAGCUCACUUUGACCGGCAUGAAAACACCGGAACAGCUGAAAAAC